rnacentral:rRNA from 1 species
UACGUAGGGGGCAAGCGUUAUCCGGAUUUACUGGGUGUAAAGGGAGCGUAGACGGCAGCGCAAGUCUGGAGUGAAAUCCCAUGGCUUAACCAUGGAACUGCUUUGGAAACUGUGCAGCUGGAGUGCAGGAGAGGUAAGCGGAAUUCCUAGUGUAGCGGUGAAAUGCGUAGAUAUUAGGAGGAACACCAGUGGCGAAGGCGGCUUACUGGACUGUAACUGACGUUGAGGCUCGAAAGCGUGGGUAGCAAACAGG